UACGAAGGGUGCAAGCGUUACUCGGAAUUACUGGGCGUAAAGCGUGCGUAGGUGGUGGUUUAAGUCAGAUGUGAAAGCCCCGGGCUCAACCUGGGAACUGCAUUUGAUACUGGAUCACUAGAGUGCGGUAGAGGAUAGCGGAAUUCCCGGUGUAGCAGUGAAAUGCGUAGAGAUCGGGAGGAACAUCCGUGGCGAAGGCGGCUAUCUGGGCCAGCACUGACACUGAGGCACGAAAGCGUGGGGAGCAAACAGG
rnacentral:rRNA from 1 species